GCAUAUCAAUAAGCGGAGGAAAAGAAACCAACAGGGAUUGCCUCAGUAACGGCGAGUGAAGCGGCAAAAGCUCAAAUUUGAAAUCUGGCUCUUUCAGGGUCCGAGUUGUAAUUUGUAGAAGAUGCUUUGGGUGUGGCUCUGGUUUAAGUUCUUUGGAAUAUUACAUCAUAGAGGGUGAGAAUCCCGUAUGUGACCAGUCGCCGCGCCCGUGUAAAGCUCUUUCAACGAGUCGAGUUGUUUGGGAAUGCAGCUCAAAAUGGGAGGUAUAUUUCUUCUAAAGCUAAAUAUUGGCCAGAGACCGAUAGCGCACAAGUAGAGUGAUCGAAAGAUGAAAAGCACUUUGGAAAGAGAGUUAAACAGUACGUGAAAUUGUUGAAAGGGAAGCGCUUGCAACCAGACUUGCACGCGGUUGAUCAUCCGGGGUUCUCCCCGGGGCACUCUGCCGCGUUCAGGCCAGCAUCGUUUUUGGUGGUUGGAUAAAGGCCUUGGGAAUGUAGCUUCUUUCGGGGAGUGUUAUAGCCCUCGGUGCAAUGCAGCCUACCGGGAACGAGGACCGCGCUUCGGCUAGGAUGCUGGCGUAAUGGUUGUAAGCGGCCCGUCUUGAAACACGGACCAAGGAGUCUAACAUCUAUGCGAGUGUUUGGGUGUCAAACCCAUACGCGUAAUGAAAGUGAACGGAGGUGAGAACCCUUAAGGGUGCAUCAUCGACCGGUCCUGAUGUCUUCGGAUGGAUCUGAGUAAGAGCAUAGCUGUUGGGACCCGAAAGAUGGUGAACUAUGCGUGAAUAGGGUGAAGCCAGAGGAAACUCUGGUGGAGGCUCGCAGCGGUUCUGACGUGCAAAUCGAUCGUCAAAUUUGCGCAUAGGGGCGAAAGACUUAUCGAACCAUCUAGUAGCUGGUUCCUGCCGA
rnacentral:rRNA from 1 species